UACGGAGGGUGCAAGCGUUAUCCGGAUUUACUGGGUUUAAAGGGUGUGUAGGCGGACUAUUAAGUCAGCGGUGAAAUCUCCGGGCUCAACCCGGAAACUGCCAUUGAUACUAUUAGUCUUGAAUGUUGUUGAGGUGGGCGGAACGGGUCAUGUAGCGGUGAAAUGCAUAGAUAUGACCCGGAACACCGAUUGCGAAGGCAGCCCACUAAGCAACGAUUAACGCUGA
rnacentral:rRNA from 1 species